rnacentral:pre_miRNA from 1 species
GCUCGCAAUAAACAUUCAUUGCUGUCGGUGGGUUUCCAUGGCAAUAGCUCGCUGACCAAUGAAUGAAGACUGCGG